AGUGCAAUAGCAAAAAUGCAUUUUGCAUAAUAAAUAUAUAUAAACUAAACGUUUUGGGAUUGGUGGGAAAAAAAUUAUUUUACAUAUACUUUUAGAGAAAUAUGAUGUGGACAAUAUUUUUACAAAAAAUUUUAAACUAGGAGGAUGCUAAUCGGAUAAUAACGUAGGAUAUAGAAUUUGUGAUAAAAAAGCGGUAGAGUUAGAAAAUUUAUCAAAUUUUAUUGCUAAUCGAGGGGCCUGCCUAGGUUUCCUAUAAAAAUAAAAUGAAAGAAGAGCACGUAGUAGGAUGGGAUUGAAAUUGAAAGGGAAGGGUAGUCUUCUUGUCUUUCAUUUCAUUUCAUAUCUGUGAGCAAGAUUGAUCCGAUCACAGUAAUUAAUUAAUAAAUUAAAAAAGAAGAAAUGUGGAGGCGGAAGCAGAGUAGCAGUAGUACGGAAGUGGGUUGCAUUGCGUGCGAGGAGCUGAGCUUGGUUGGGGCCGGAAAGGAAGGGUGGCUCGUGGAGGACCCAAAUCUUGUGUGCGCUCUGGACACUCACGCACUAGCGCUCGCCCACAACUCCCUCAUACUCCUCCUCGGAUUCGGAUCUUCUUCUUCUUCUUCGCCCGAUUCCCGUGUCAGCAUCCGACCCGAUUUGUCCCCGAUCGAGUCCGAGCAUAUUACAGCCAUUGAGUGGCUCGUUUUUGAAGAUUACGAUAUUCGGGUUGUUGUGGCCGGCACCUCUUCCGGCUAUUUGCUCUUUUACUCUCUGCUUGGUCAUUUCAUUCACAAACAGAUGAUAUAUCCUGGGCGAAUUCUAAAGUUGAGAGUUCGUGGAACAAAGAGAGAUUUGACCCAAGACACUACUUCCUCAGAAGAAGUCUGUGUUGUCAUGCCAGGCAUAGUUGCUCGCUUUGAUGGUUCUCAUAUUCAGAGUAUGCUGCGCCAAUGGUUUGAAGAAACACAUACUCAGUAUUGGGAUCAGAAACCAAAAAAGCGAGGUUCAGAGGGCCCAGAAACUCCUUAUGGAAGAUUACCUUUCCAGUUAUGGAAUGUUAGCAAGUAUGGCACUUGUGCUGAUGCUGCAAUCACUGGUAUAAUGCCUCCACCACUGAUGGAACUCCAGUCAAGUCAGCGUUAUUACUGUGCGGUCGCUGUUGGAGAGGAUGCUGUUGUUUCGGCAUUCAGGCUUUCAGAAGACAAAAGCAGGUCUUUAGUGGGAGCUAUUUUAUCAAAAGUUGUUCCUGCAACAUUUUCGACAAUUGCUUCUGUUUCAAGAAUGUUUUGGCGGAGUGAACAAAUGUCACCAAGAAAAUCGGAAGUGAAGACUCAAUCAUUUGCUCGAGCUUCUCCUUUGACGUGUUUGAAGGAUCACCCAAGGAAGGGUGAGAAGCUGACCCUCUCACCUAGUGGUACAUUAGCUGCAAUAACAGAUUCACUUGGUCGUAUAUUGCUCUUAGACACUCAGGCACUUGUGGUGGUGCGGUUAUGGAAGGGAUACCGCGAUGCUAGCUGCCUAUUCAUGGAGAUGCUAGUCAAAAGAGAUACUGCUGCAGCAUCAAGUUCCAAUUAUUAUGAACCAGUGAAGAGUGAUUACUGUUUGUGUUUGGCUAUUCAUGCACCUCGAAAAGGAAUUGUUGAGGAGAACCAUGGUCCAAAAGAGCCCUCCAUCAUCCGGAACAUUCCAAAUUAAUGCUUGUGCACUAGAAUCAGUUUUCUGUCACCUCUUGUACGUUUCAAAGGAGGCUUCCAGUUACAUUCCUUGUCACAAAAAGUUCAAGAUUGGAAAAUUUGAAACCUCAAAAGGCAUGCCAUUCUCAUCAUUAAUUUUGCUGGCCUUAAGGGUGCUUCAUUUUUAAUCUUUAGAUCUGGCAGAUGAGAACUGGACCACGUCUUCGGAUUAUUCAAUGUGCCAAAGGUGCUAAAAUACUGCAACCUACCUAUAGAUUUGGA